CCCAUAUCGAUUCAAGAGGAGAGGAGGGCCAUGGAGGGAGAAGCCUGCUGCUGCAAUACCUACCUUGUCGUCCUCAUGGUGGGGUGUAGUUGAGGUCUGGGAGAUCCAUGUUCUCCAGGCAACUGAAAAGAACUUUCAAGAUUGUUUUAAAGAAGGGCUAUUGAAAAAAGAUGUGUGAGAGUAUUAGUGACUCUCAUGUGGGCUUGCCACACUUUUCAG